rnacentral:rRNA from 1 species
GGGUUGUGAGGUUAAGCGACCAAGCGUACACGGUGGAUGCCCUGGCAGUCAGAGGCGAUGAAGGACGUGCUAAUCUGCGAAAAGCGCCGGUAAGGUGAUAUGAACCGUUAUAACCGGCGAUGUCCGAAUGGGGAAACCCAGUGUG